GAUGAAGAACGUAGCGGAAUGCGAUAAGUAAUGUGAAUUGCAGAAUUCAGUGAAUCAUCGAAUCUUUGAACGCACCUUGCGCCCUUUGGCUAUUCCGAAGGGCAUGCCUGUUUGAGUAUCAUGAACACCUCAACUCUCAUGGCUUGCCAUGAAGAGCUUGGACUAUGGGGGUCUUGCUGGCCUGUGGUCGGCUCCUCUCAAAUGAAUCAGCUUGCCGGUGUUUGGUGGCGUCACAGGUGUGAUAACUAUCUACGCUUGUGGUGUUUUCCACCAGGUAACCUUCAGCAAUGGAGGUUCGCUGGGGCUCAUAAAAGUCUCUCCUCGGUGAGGACAGCUCUUUUUGAACGUUUGAUCUCAAAUCAGGUAGGACUACCCGCUGAACUUAAGCAUAUCAAUAAGCGGAGGA
rnacentral:misc_RNA from 1 species